ACGAACGCUGGCGGCGUGCUUAACACAUGCCAGUCGAACGGAAAGGCCCUGCUUUUGUGGGGUGCUCGAGUGGCGAACGGGUGAGUAACACGUCAGUAACCUGCCCUUGACUUUGGGAUAACUUCAGGAAACUGGGGCUAAUACCGGAUAGGAGCUCCUGCUGCAUGGUGGGGGUUGGAAAGUUUCGGCGGUUGGGGAUGGACUCGCGGCUUAUCAGCUUGUUGGUGGGGUAGUGGCUUACCAAGGCUUUGACGGGUAGCCGGCCUGAGAGGGUGACCGGCCACAUUGGGACUGAGAUACGGCCCAGACUCCUACGGGAGGCAGCAGUGGGGAAUAUUGCACAAUGGGCGGAAGCCUGAUGCAGCAACGCCGCGUGCGGGAUGACGGCCUUCGGGUUGUAAACCGCCUUCGCCUGUGACGAAGCGUGAGUGACGGUAAUGGGUAAAGAAGCACCGGCUAACUACGCG
rnacentral:rRNA from 1 species